GUGGGGACGGUGGCCCCGAGGGGACAAGCGUGGCCGCAUUAGCUCUUUCUGCCUCCCACGCAGCCUUAUUUUUUUUAUUGUUGUUUUCUUGUUGCUGUUGUUGUUGUUCUCGGAGACGAAGUCUUGCUUUUGCUCUGUCGUCGCUCACGAUAGAGUACAGUGGCGUGAUCUCUGCUCACUGCAACCUCCGCCUCCUGGGUUCAAACAAUUCUGCCUCAGCCUCCGGAGUAGCUGGGAUUACAGGCGCGCGCCACUAUGCCCGGCUAAUUUUUGUGUUUUUAGUAAAGACGGGGUUUCACCAUGUCGGCCAGGCUGUUCUCGAACUCCUGACCUCGUGAUCCCUCCGUCUCGGCUUCCCAAAGUGCUGGGAUUACGGGCGUGAGCCACCGUGCCCGGCCGCAGCCUUGUUUUGACUGAGUCAGUGGGAGCCAUUACUGUUCCUAAAUGUAAACUGGCGCGACAGGAGUUCCGAGAUUGUCCACAGCACGGUGAUGUGGAAGCCCUGGGGAGAGAAUGAUAAAGAAAGGGGAUGAGGAACAGCUCCACCCGGAAGAGCGGGCUUCCCUAGCAAAUGAAUCUGGAAGGGCGCAGUGGAGGGGGCACGGCGAGUUCAGAUGGACCGAGGCUGGAAGCUGACGCGGUUGGAGGGGGAUGGGUGUAGCUGUUGGCAGUGGCGCUGGGGUGGAAGUGUGUGGGGUCACAGAUGUGUAAGGGUGGGCGCGGAGCAGACCCCCGAAGGUCCCUGAGGUCAGGCUGAGGCAUUGGACCAAAUCCGUACAUAGGCAUUUCUCUGAACUGCGCGCCACCUUUUGAGUGCCAUCUGUUUCCGUCCAGGACUCUGAUACAACUAUCCAGUCCGCUGCAGGGACCGGUCACUGUGUCACACAUUCUGUACACAGACACAGCGAUAAAAUGAAAUGACUGGAACUUAAAUGUGAAAACUCUUUACAACUCCAGAUUCCUCAUCUUGCAGCUGGGAUCCAGAGCUCUCACUCCAGGAGCCCAGUCACAGCAAAAACCAAAACUGUACUUUUUUUUUUUCUGGAGACAGGGUCUCUCAUUCUGUCACCCAGGCUGGAGUGCAAUGACGUGAUCUCUGUCUCAGCCCACAGCAGCUUCAACCUCCCAGGCUCAAGUGAUCCUCCUGCCUCAGCUACGCAGUGUAUGGUAUUUUGUUACAACAACCAGAAUGUAGUAAGACAUUUAUUGAAGGAUAUCUUGGUUCCUUCCAAGUUUUUGGCAGUGAUAAAGAAAGCUGCCAUAAACGUGCACGUGCAGAUUUCUUUGUGGGCAGAAGUUUUCAACCCAUCUGUGUAAAUCCUGGGGAGCACUGUUGCUGGUGCAUAUUCUAAGAGUAUGUUUAGGAUUAUGAGAGACCGCCACACUGUCCUCCAAAGUAGCUGUACCAUUCUGCAUUGCCAGCACCAAUGAAGAAGGGUUUCUGUUGCUCCACAUUUCUGCCAGCAUUUGGUGGUGCCAGCAUUUUGGAUUUGGCAUUCUAAUAGGUAUGUAGUGGUGUCUUGUUUUUUUUUUUUUUUUUUUGAGACAGAGUCUCACUCUGUCUUCCAGGCUGGAGUGCAGUGGCAUGGUCUUGGCUCACUGCAACCUCCGCCUCCUGGGUUCAAGCGAUUCUCCUGCCUCAGCCUCCCGAGUAGCUGGGACUACAGGCGUGCGCCACCACGCCCAGCUAAUUUUUGUAUUUUUAGUAGAAACAGGGUUUCACCAUGUUGGCCAGGAUGAUCUCGAUCUCUUGACCUCGUGAUCCACCUGCCUUGGCCUUCCAAAGUGCUAGGAUUACAGGUGUGAGCCACCGCGUCCGGCCAGUGGUGUCUUGUUUUAACGGACAGUUCCCUAAUGACAUACGGUGAACAUCUUUUCCUGUGUUUAUUUGCCAUCUGUAUUAGGGUUCUCCAGAGGGCCAGAACUAACAGGAUAUAUGUAUAUAUUGAAAGGGAGUAUAUUAGGGAGAACUGGCUCACAGGAUCAUCAGGCAAAGUCCCACUAUAGGCCAUCUGCAAGCUGAGGAAGGAAGAAGCCAGUCACGUCUCAAAGUCCAAAAGCCUCAAAAGUAGGGAAGCCAACGGCGCAGCCUUCAGUCUGUGGUGGAAGGCCCAAGAGUCCCCGACACACCACUGGUGGAAGUUCAAGAGUCCAAAGGCCAAAGAACCUGGAGUCUAAUCUCCAAAGACAGGAAGUAUCCAGCGCAGGAGAAAGAUGAAACCCAGAAGACUCAGCAAGCCAGCCCCUCCCACCUUCUGCCUGUUCUAGCCACACUGGCACUAACUGGAUGGUGCCCACCCACACUGAGAGUGGGUCUUCCUCUCCCAGUCCACUGACUCAAGUGUCAGUCUCCCUGGCAACACCCUCACAGACACACCCAGAAACAAUCCUUUUUUUUUUUUUUUUUUGAGACCGAAUCUCACUCUGUCACCCAGGUUGGAGUGCAGUGGCACCAUCUCGGCUCACUCCAACCUCCGCCUCCCAAGCAAUUCUUCUGCCUCAGCCUCCCGAGUAGCUGGGACUACAGGCACGUGCCAUCAUGCUGGCUAAUUUUUGUAUUUUUAGUACAGACAGGGUUUCACCAUAUUGGCCAGGCUGGUCUCAAAUUCCUGCCCGUCUUGGCCUCCCAAAGUGCUGGGAUUACAGGUGUAAGCCACCAUGCCUGGCCCCUUUUCCUAUUUUUUAAUCAGAUUGUUUUCCUGUUAACUGAGUUUUAAGAGCCCUUUGUAAAUCUUGGAUAGCAGUCCUUCAUGAGAUAGGUCUCUUGCAAAUAGUUUCUCCCAGGCUGCAGCUUUUCUCAUUAUAUUAAAAAUGUUUUUCAAAGAGCAGAGGGUUUUGUUUUGUUUUGUUUUGUUUUUUGAGAUGGAGUCUCGCUCUGUCGCCCAGUCUGGAGUGCAGUGGCGUGAUCUCGGCUCACUGCAAGCUCCGCCUCCCGGGUUCACGCCAUUCUCCUGCCUCAGCCUCCUGAGUAGCUGGGACUACAGGCACCUGCCACCACACCUGGCUAAUUUUUUGUAUUUUUAGUAGAGACGGGGCUUCACCGUGUUAGCCAGGAUGGUCUCGAUCUCCUGACCUCGUGAUCCGCCCGCUUCGACCUCCCAAAGUGCUGGGAUUACAGGCGUGAGCCACCACGCCUGGCCUAGCAGAGGGGUUUUUUUAUUAUUAUUUUAAUAAAGUCAAGCUUGUAAGUUUC